AUGAACGCUGGCGCGUGCCUAAUACAUGCAAGUCGCGCGAACAGACGAGGAGCUUGCUCCUCUGACGUUAGCGGCGGACGGGUGAGUAACACGUGGAUAACCUACCUAUAAGACUGGGAUAACUUCGGGAAACCGGAGCUAAUACCGGAUAAUAUAUUGAACCGCAUGGUUCAAUAGUGAAAGACGGUUUUGCUGUCACUUAUAGAUGGAUCCGCGCCGCAUUAGCUAGUUGGUAAGGUAACGGCUUACCAAGGCGACGAUGCGUAGCCGACCUGAGAGGGUGAUCGGCCACACUGGAACUGAGACACGGUCCAGACUCCUACGGGAGGCAGCAGUAGGGAAUCUUCCGCAAUGGGCGAAAGCCUGACGGAGCAACGCCGCGUGAGUGAUGAAGGUCUUCGGAUCGUAAAACUCUGUUAUUAGGGAAGAACAAAUGUGUAAGUAACUAUGCACGUCUUGACGGUACCUAAUCAGAAAGCCACGGCUAACUACGUG
rnacentral:rRNA from 1 species